rnacentral:misc_RNA from 1 species
UUAGAUGCUGCUUUGAAAAGGUAGUAACAAAAAUUUGCCAAAUUAUGAAGCCUCAGUCAAAGAAAUUUAAAAAGAAUCAAUCCUGGAUCUUGCUUUGAAGAGUUUUUGUGAUUAAAUUUACAAAUUUAAAGCCUGAAUGAAGACAUCUAAUUAUUCUAUAGUUACAAGAGAUUUUUGUGACUUUUAUUGGCACGAAUAAUGCUGGCUAAAAAUUUAUCUUUUCAUUUAAUUUUUUUUAGUGUCAAUGGUUUUACCAGCCUAUUUGAGAGUGGCAAGUAACUAUUAAUUCAGUUAGAACACAAACUACUUCUCUUAUUGUCCUUUUACAUCAAGUUAUUUAGUUUUAAAAUCUGUUGCUAAUACUACAUUUUUCGGCAGGUACUUUCCUG